GAUGAAGAACGCAGCGAAAUGCGAUAAGUAAUGUGAAUUGCAGAAUUCAGUGAAUCAUCGAAUCUUUGAACGCACAUUGCGCCCGCCAGUAUUCUGGCGGGCAUGCCUGUUCGAGCGUCAUUACACCCCUCAGGCCCCCGGCCCUGGCGUUGGGGAUCGGCGGAGCCCCCCGUGGGCCCACGCCGUCCCCCAAAUGCAGUGGCGGUCCCGCCGCAGCUUCCAUCGCGUAGUAGCUAACACCUCGCGACUGGAGAGCGGCGCGGCCACGCCGUAAAACACCCAACUCUUCUGAAGUUGACCUCGAAUCAGGUAGGAAUACCCGCUGAACUUAAGCAUAUCAAUAAGCGGAGGA
rnacentral:misc_RNA from 1 species